CCUACGGGAGGCAGCAGUGAGGAAUAUUGGUCAAUGGACGCAAGUCUGAACCAGCCAUGCCGCGUGCAGGAAGACGGCUCUAUGAGUUGUAAACUGCUUUUGUACGAGGGUAAACGCAGAUACGCGUAUCUGUCUGAAAGUAUCGUACGAAUAAGGAUCGGCUAACUCCGUGCCAGCAGCCGCGGUAAUACGGAGGAUUCAGGCGUUAUCCGGAUUUAUUGGGGUUAAAGGGUGCGUAGGCGGUCGUAUAAGUUAGAGGUGAAAUCCCGAGGCUCAACUUCGGAAGUGCCUCUGAUACUGGUAGGCUAGAGAGUAGUUGCGGUAGGCGGAAUGUAUGGUGUAGCGGUGAAAUGCUUAGAGAUCAUACAGAACACCGAUUGCGAAGGCAGCUUACCAAGCUACUUCUGACGUUGAGGCACGAAAGCGUGGGGAGCAAACAGGAGUAGAUACCCGAGUAGUC
rnacentral:rRNA from 1 species